AAGUGAGUCCAAGGAGGAGGAAAUUGCCAUUUUGCUGACACUGAGGUUUUGUGAGAGGAAUUGCUUUGUUUCAAGAAUGUCACAUAAACAUUUGGACAAGCUUUGUUCAGGAAGUGGCUGCAUCCCGUGGGGUUUCCUCUGCUGAAGGAGAAUGUGUACACCUGCAAUAAAUCCCCAGUUAGGCCAGCUCUGAAGCACAGCAGCUUCUCUGCAGUUUCUAGAAAAGGCAUGACAAGCAAUGGUGCUAUGAAGCAAUUUCCUGCGGUGGAAGAAGUGCUGGUGAAAAUGGAAAUGGAGAAAUGAAACAAAUAAUGGAUGAAAGAAAGUAAUCUCUCUCCCACCUUCCACUUCUGAGUAACACAGAAACCAUCCCAAGGAGAAUAAAGAAUAAAGUAGAAAACUGCAAUGCCCAGAGUUCAAACUCUGAGAUUUCUUGAUGCUUUUGUGCAAGAUGUGAGGAAUCAAAGGGUCCAAAUUUGAGGAAGCUCUGAAACCCCAGCUAGACUUCGUGAUUAGUGUUUAACCUCAGUCAUGUUCAGUUAUACUUUGUCACUUUUAGUGGAAUUUCAAAAGACUACACAAAAAUUUGUGUCCUUUGCAUUUUGGUGGCCAGCAUCAAGCGCAUUCCAGUGCUGUAAUAUGUGACACUGCAUGGCUGUGGUGUCAACCUUAGCUUGAGUUGCAGGAUCAGCUGAGUUGUUCUCUUCAUGUGUCUUCAACUUAAAUAAUCCAUGAACUUGUGCUGGACUUCCACAAGGUCAUCCUGUGCCCCUCUGCAUGGGGAAAACAAAGGGAAAACAAACAUGGUAAAUGUAAUCAAAGUGGCAGAUUAUAGGUGAAGUUCAGAAAGUGGAAUUAAAAGUGUUCCAGAAGCUGUAGUUUUCUAAGUGACCACAAGUACUUUAGAAAGCAGUUGGGGAUGUAGAUAUGAUAUGCUAUUGAUAUCUAGAAUGGUGAGAUGAGUACUGGGCAGAAAAUCUUAGUUUGGUAAGGAAAUAGGUAGAAAAACCCCAAAACCAAAAUAACACCCCAAAGCUGAGAGAAUGCUUGUAAACUCUGGUGUACCUUCUCACCUAAGGUAACAGCUCUCUGUGGGAGUUGUCCUACUGGCCUUUAGCUGUAUUCUAUUUAAGGAGGUGCUCAAUUCACCACAGAAAAACCAAUUUGGUCCUUAACAGAACCCCUUUGUGUUGUUUAUUGUUCUCCUUUGGUUGUGCAUUGCAGAUGUGCCUAAAGCCACACUCAAGUUUACUUCUGUGAAUCCCUUCUCUCUUGGGUGAAAUUCAGUUUAAAAAAAAUAGCAGAAAAGAAUUGUUUGGAUUGAGAAACAUCUGUACAAGAUCUUAAGGGCAAGGGAGGCAAGUGAGAAACUUGUGUUGGUCGAUUGCUCUUCAGUGCUAAGAGCAUUCCUCAGGUGGGUGGGAUUGUUUCCGUUGUUGAUGCAGUGGGUUUUUAGAAAUUUAAUCUUGGAAAAUUAAAGCACAUGAAAUAUUUCAACUUUGCUGUGUGAGGUAUUGUUGAUAAAGAUGUAUUAAAAGUGAGGAGCUCUGGGAUGAAUUUUCUUAAUGCAAAGCUGUGCAGUUUCACACGUGGUUGUGAAAGCUCUAAUAUUCCCUCCU